UUAUCCAUCAUUACAAAGUAGAUGUGUUUAAUGUUGCAAUAGAUCAACAAGUGAUAGAGUUGAAUGAUCGAUUCAGUUCUCAAGUUACGGAGCUUCUAGAUCUUUGUUCAUCAUUGGACCCUAGACAUGAUGCCUUCGACAAGUCAAAGAUAUGCACUCUAGUGGAAAAAUUCUAUCCUGCUGAUUUUACUAGUCAAGAAAGAGAUCGGUUGGAGUGUGAAUUACCACAUUUUCAGCUUGAUACAUUGAACCAUCCAGAGAUCAAAAAUUGCAAAUCACUUGCUGAUAUGACAAAAGGGGUAAUUAAAACUGGCAAGUCUUCUGAUUAUCCUAUGGUUGAGAGGUUGUUACGAUUAGUAAUAACUCUUCCGGUGUCAACUGCAACAGCAGAGCGAGCCUUUUCCGCAAUG
rnacentral:rRNA from 1 species